AGAGAAGCUAGUGAUGUGGGGGUUCUCUCAUAACCCUCAGUCCCCAGGUGGGUAGAUGGCAGGUUGAAUAAAGAGAAGCUAGUGAUGUGGGGGUUCUCUCAUAACCCUCAGUCCCCAGGUGGGUAGAUGGCAGGUUGUAUAAAGAGAAGCUAGUGAUGUGGGGGUUCUCUCAUAACCCUCAGUCCCCAGGUGGGUAGAUGGCAGGUUGAAUAAAGAGAAGCUAGUGAUGUGGGGGUUCUCUCAUAACCCUCAGUCCCCAGGUGGGUAGAUGGCAGGUUGAAUAAAGAGAAGCUGGUGAUGUGGGGGUUCUCUCAUAACCCUCAGUCCCCAGGUGGGUAGAUGGCAGGUUGUAUAAAGAGAAGCUAGUGAUGUGGGGGUUCUCUCAUAACCCUCAGUCCCCAGGUGGGUAGAUGGCAGGUUGAAUAAAGAGAAGCUAGUGAUGAGGGGGUUCUCUCAUAACCCUCAGUCCCCAGGUGGGUAGAUGGCAGGUUGUAUAAAGAGAAGCUAGUGAUGUGGGGGUUCUCUCAUAACCCUCAGUCCCCAGGUGGGUAGAUGGCAGGUUGUAUAAAGAGAAGCUAGUGAUGUGGGGGUUCUCUCAUAACCCUCAGUCCCCAGGUGGGUAGAUGGCAGGUUGAAUAAAGAGAAGCUAGUGAUGUGGGGGUUCUCUCAUAACCCUCAGUCCCCAGGUGGGUAGAUGGCAGGUUGAAUAAAGAGAAGCUAGUGAUGUGGGGGUUCUCUCAUAACCCUCAGUCCCCAGGUGGGUAGAUGGCAGGUUGAAUAAAGAGAAGCUAGUGAUGUGGGGGUUCUCUCAUAACCCUCAGUCCCCAGGUGGGGACCAUGAAUGUAUAAAACAUUAAGGACACCUUUCUUUCCAUGACAAACUGUGAAUC